rnacentral:lncRNA from 1 species
GAAGGAAAAAAUAAGAAGGAGAAGAAGAAAAAGAAGAAGAAGAAGAAGAAGAAGAAGAAGAAGAAGAAGAAGAAGAAGAAGACGAGGAGGAGGAGGAUGAGAAGAAAAAAUAAGAAGGAGAAGAAGAAAAGAAGAAGAGAAGAAGAAGAGAAGAAGAAAAAAAUAAGAAGGAGAAGAAGAGAAAAAACAAGAAUAAGUAGAAGAAGAGGAUAAAGAAAAAUAUAAAUAGAAAUAAGAGGA